UACAUGGGGUGCAACCGUUGCUCGGAUUCAUUGGGCGUAAAGGGCGCGUAGGCGGCGGGGUAAGUCGGGUGUGAAAUCUCAGAGCUCAACUCUGAAAUGGCACUUGAUACUGCUCUGCUAGAGGACUGGAGAGGAGAUUGGAAUUCACGGUGUAGCAGUGAAAUGCGUAGAUAUCGUGAGGAAGACCGGUGGCGAAGGCGGAUCUCUGGACAGUUCCUGACGCUGAGGCGCGAAGGCCAGGGGAGCAAACGGG
rnacentral:rRNA from 1 species